GCCUGGCUGGCUCAAAUGGUAGAGCAUGUGACUCUUGAUCAUAAGUCAUGAGUUCAAGCCCCACAUUGGUCA
rnacentral:tRNA from 1 species